CUGUGCAGCCGCGGCCGUCGCCUCAGAGGAUGGAAAGACGACGCCGGCCUCACGCUUCGCCGCCACGGCCGCCGCCUAGAGUAACGCUCGCCGACCCGAACAGUCACCGUCUCUCAUUCAGCGCCCGCAGCAGCCGCCGCCGCCGCUGCCGCCGCUCGGGGGAGGAGAGUGAGCUGGAACCACCCCGUCCGCGCCAGGGGUGGGGGAAGAGAGCGGACCUGCCGAGGGCGCGCGCCAAGCGGGCGGGGCGGAGCCGCGCGCGCGCGCGCACCAACGGAGCGCGCUCGCGGGGCCCGUGAGCGCUGCAGCCGUCAGGGUCUUAACCUCGCGCUUCCCGCCCGCAGCUUUUCGGCCCAGCGGAGCCCAACUGCCGCCGGGGAUCGGUGUCCGCAGCGCGCUCAGCCAGCCGCAACCCCCACUGCCCGGCGCCUGCUGAAAGAAGCGGCUCCCACCGGCCAAAGAAGGGGGCGGGAAGGGGUGGGAGGAUGGACAGGUGGGGCGUCCGCCACCGCCUGGCCACCCGCUCCCGGCACGCGGCCCUCUGUGAAAUCCGCAGUGAUGUCUGUGGCCUUCAGCGCCCGGCUCUUCACCUUUAAGGCCAAAGUCUGGAAGCACUUGGCCCAAAGAUCAAAUAUUCAGCCCACGCCAGCGGUGUUUUUAUAAGUCACUGCGGACAAAUGAGGGGGCUCCAGAUGUGGCGAGUCACCCCACUGCCGUAGAUAGGGUCAUAAAUUAUGGUGAUCAGUAUCCUCACACGUUAAGAUUCGGGAGGUGUUAGAAGUAGGCCUUUGUAGAUGUCACGCAGGGUCCUACCCUUGACUGAAGGGGCAAAUGACAGAAAUUGGGCGGAAAGGUGUUUCAGAGAGUGUACUAAAUGGAUGGCCUACUUAAAACUAGCACCAUUUGAUGCAGUGACUGUUAACGGAAGGUUUUAAGUGAGCCGCCUUUGUAUCUGCUGUCAUUAGACCAUUUGGAAAUGGAUAAUUAUUUGAUGAUCUGCAGUUCUUUCUCUAGGCAAUGUGCAGUAGAAUGUGGAAAGAAUACUAUGUACCAGCAUUAAGUGUAAAACAUGAAAGGACCAAUAAUUCACUAUUCCCAUUUGGUUUCUUUCCUCCCUUUAAUAACCGCUAAACAGAACUGAUUAAUCUUGAACGUUGAAGAAUGCUAAUUAUUUCCUCCUUUGAUUGCCUUGUGUCAUAGCCCUUUUACUUUAGUUGGGGAAGCAAGAAUGCCCUUCAACCCCCUUCUCUCAAAUAGGGUUACUUCUUUAAAGCACCCCAACGCAAAGUUAAGUCAAAAAGAGAAACAGCAAGGAUAGGCAACAAAGUUCAUAGUGUUUCAUUUUUAUUCCAUUUUACUUUCAAAGAAAGUCUUGAAUCAUGACGAAAUCACUAGCAGAAGUAGAGCAAUCAAAAGAAGAAAAAAAGCGUUCCCCCGCCACCAAUAUUUCAAAUGACAAGAGUCCAAAAAAGAAAAGAAAAAGGAAGAUGAUUGGUAAAAAGGAGGGAAAUGCAUUAUGUAUACAGAAAGUAUUCCCGUAGAUGUUAGUUGCUUCAAGUCCCAAAUCAACAACAACAAACUGAAUUAGCACUUGGAGGAAAAACCCCUUCCAGUUAUUGAGUUGGGUAAAUGUUUAGUCUUUUAAAAGUGUUACUAAGAGAUUAAGGAAAAUGUUGUUGGCUAUAUGCCAACAAUAAUACAUACAACAUACAUACCAUUAUCACACAUAAUUAAGUGCUCUUGAGAAAUAGGAAAACUGAGGAAUGGAACUCUUAUGUUGUUCAAUGUCAUACAAUUACUUGAAACUUGAAUUAGGGUUUCAUAGAUAUAAAUAAGCCAGGGUCCCUACAUCUGCCAAUAAUUUUCACAGCUUAUUGUAAAAGCAGUGAAGUUUUCACUUGGACUUUGAAAAGAAAAAACCAUGUGACUCAUGAGCAAG